CAAUAGCGUAUAUUAAAGUUGUUGCGGUUAAAAAGCUCGUAGUUGGAGUUCUGCCAGGUGCCGCCUGUCCGCCCCAGUGGUGAGUACGUGGCGCGCAUUUGGCCCUUUCAAGGGGAGCGUAUCUGCACUUUAUUGUGUGGUGCGGGAUCCUUGACUUUUACUUUGAGGAAAUAGGAGUGUUCCAAGCAGGCUCUCGUCGUGCACAGCUCAGCAUGGAAUAAUAGCAUUGGACCUCGAUUCUAAGCUGUUGGUUGCCAGAAGCGAGGUAAUGAUGAAGAGGGAUAGUUGGGGGCAUUCGUAUUUAACUGUCAGAGGUGAAAUUCUUGGAUUUGUUAAAGGCGGACUACUGCGAAAGCAUCUGCCGUGGAUGUUUUCAUUGA
rnacentral:rRNA from 1 species